rnacentral:tRNA from 1 species
AGCUUUUUAGUUUAUGAUAAAAUUUUUAUUUGUGGGGUAAAAGAUUUUGAAGCUAUA